CAGCUUGGAUGAGCCACGAAAUGUUUUUGACCAAAUAAACUUUUGUCCAGUUGACAAAUUGAAUUUUUCCUUUGCCAUAGAUUCUAUCAGGACAACUGAGGGAUUUUUCACACAUCUUUAUCAAAAUGAUUCGAUGGUUUCAGAGGAUUCCAAGGUAAAACUGGAGAGCCCGGUCUGCAGGGACGAGAGGGUUAUAAAGGGACCAAAGGAGUGCAGGGACGCAGAGGAGACCCAGGACCAGUGG